UGUUUGAUGUUCUAACGUGGACCCGUGAUCCGGGUUGCGGACAGUGUCUGGUGGGUAGUUUGACUGGGGCGGUCUCCUCCUAAAGAGUAACGGAGGAGCACGAAGGUUGGCUAAUCCUGGUCGGACAUCAGGAGGUUAGUGCAAUGGCAUAAGCCAGCUUGACUGCGAGCGUGACGGCGCGAGCAGGUGCGAAAGCAGGUCAUAGUGAUCCGGUGGUUCUGAAUGGAAGGGCCAUCGCUCAACGGAUAAAAGGUACUCCGGGGAUAACAGGCUGAUACCGCCCAAGAGUUCAUAUCGACGGCGGUGUUUGGCACCUCGAUGUCGGCUCAUCACAUCCUGGGGCUGAAGUAGGUCCCAAGGGUAUGGCUGUUCGCCAUUUAAAGUGGUACGCGAGCUGGGUUUAGAACGUCGUGAGACAGUUCGGUCCCUAUCUGCCGUGGGCGAUGGAGAACUGAGGGGGGCUGCUCCUAGUACGAGAGGACCGGAGUGGACGCAUCACUGGUGUUCGGGUUGUCAUGCCAAUGGCACUGCCCGGUAGCUAAAUGCGGAAGAGAUAAGUGCUGAAAGCAUCUAAGCACGAAACUUGCCCCGAGAUGAGUUCUCCCUGACCCUUUAAGGGUCCUGAAGGAACGUUGAAGACGACGACGUUGAUAGGCCGGGUGUGUAAGCGCAGCGAUGCGUUGAGCUAACCGGUACUAAUGAACCGUGAGG
rnacentral:rRNA from 1 species